GUACGGCAGGGGGCUGCAGGCGCCGCUCGCGCCCAGUCAGCCGCCCUCAUGAGGGCUGCCGGCUCCUGGCGGCUCCCUCGGGUACCUCGAGUACCUCCACGCAGGAGAACCGCCGUCUGCCACCAUCCCCAGCCCCGCUGCAGCAUGGGACUGCGUCGGUGCCGAUCUCAGACUGUUCAACCUGCCGCUGAGCUGCUCCUCUGGCAUUUUGAUGGUCGUCUUGGUCUUGUGAAGUCUGUCCUUCUAUUUAAAGGAGGGCUGACUAGCCUGUGGCUCAUGCGCCUUUUGUGGCUCAUGUGCACCUCACUGACUGGCACUGUGUCUCAGAGAUGUGUGGAUGCAGAGCUGCUGCCCAACUUCAUUGCUCCUGAGGAGUUAUCCCACACUGGGGAGGUGAGACUGUUGAGGAUGUAGCAUCAGCUAGAAAGUGAACCCUUUCAGAGUUGUUCCUUUCUCUUGGUUUCGUGGCCAUGUUUGUGUCUGAUGUCUUGUGGCUUGUAGUGGCACAGUGAUUUUGACAUGAAGCUUGUAGCAUUAGCCAGGUUGGCCACUCCUUAUUUUAAUCCUAAACAUAAAAGCAGCCCAAAAGUCCUUGAAGCAUGUCUUACCAGCAGUUAAGCAUUUAGAAGGUUUGUGAAUACAUUCUUGAAAUAUUUGUAUGGAUUUAUUUUUUUUUAAUUCACUUAAAGACUUGUACAAGUAGACCUUUCUUCAUCAUCUUCCUUUUGUAUGUGGGCAGCUGUUACACUACUAUUCAGUACAGGAAUUAUCAUUAUUUCUAGUGAGGAAAUUUUGCAAAUUCUAGCAAAUUUUGCAAAUUCUAGCAAAUGUCAAAGCCAGCAUACCUUUAUGCUUGAAUAAAUGUCCAUAUUACCAGCUUAUAUUGGUGUCGCCAUUUCUAUAGAAGUCAUCACUGGAAAUAAAUUUGUCUGAACCAAUAAAAAUAAUUUCACAACAUCCAAGUACCGGGAAUUUGGGUUGCAUAAUGGUUUUGCACAGCCUCAGUUUUCCAUUUAGAAAUGCUGAAAAUCUAAGUUUGCACUAUUUAGAUACAAGUGGAAUUUCCAUUCAAAAUAAACAACUAUUUUGUUGGAAAAGAAACUUAACUGAAAAGUUUUCAUCCCAAUAACAGUGUUAUAUUAUAUUAAAGAAAUAAACAGCUCCUGUUUUCUUCUGUGUAAUUUAUCUGCAGGUGAUAUAUAAGGUUGAAAAGUGGCUGAUUCAGGAAAAACUGAUAAGCAUCAUUCUUGCCAUGAUAUCCAUCUCUGGCAGCUUGCUCUGAGAGGAAGAUGCCUCUCUGUUGUCUUUUUCCCUUUCAUUUUCUCUUUUCCUUCCUCUUACAUGUAGCUACCUUUUAUAAAUAAGAAAUGAAGUUGCUUUUCUUGCAACUGCUUUUGAUGUAGGUUAUAGGAAAUUUCUGAAAGUAUGUAUUUUUAUCUCUUUUCAUUGUCUUACACUAAAGGCAAAGUCACAUUCAAAACCUCCAAAGCAAAACUAGGAGACAGAGACAACUACUUAGGCAAUAUGUUUGUUAGUUUUUUUUUUACUUAGAUGGAAACAAGUUCAUAAAUCCUUAACUAUCCCUGCAGACUCUUGUUUACAAUGAAAAAUAAGGGUCUCUCUGACAGUGCAUCCUACUUUCAAAACAUCUUUUCUCCUAUUCUUUUUCUAAGCCACAAAGAUACAAGUUUGUAUGGUAGGAAUGAGACUUUAUAAGGCAGAUAUUGGACUUCAGUGCUCAUCCUCUAGCAAAAAUCAGCAUUAAUUGGAAAUGCAUAGCCUGCCUGGUACUUUGCAUACUCUAAUAGAACUGCAUUUGAAUUGUAUUGAUGUAAACUUUGUCAUUCACAGAUGUCUAAAAAAAAAAAAGUGAUUGAUUGAAAGGGUAGUUUCCUACAGAGGUACACUGAUAAUGAAGCACAUGAAAAGUCUGCCCUUGAAAUUGUGGGUCUGUCAUCUCAAAAUGUACCUAUUUAAAUACAUUUUCUUUUACGUCACUGAAUGCUUACGAAAGACUCAUGUUUCAUCUUUGCCCCUUCUUUGAAGUUGAAAGCAAAACUCUCCAUCUGAUGUAGAACCUGAAUAAUUUUAGCUGAGAGAGCCAUUCUAUUCCUUGUUUCUCUGUUAUUGCUCUCAUGACGGCAUGCAGAAGGUGAUGUGAGGACAGAGAAGCUCUCCCAAACUACUCUCAAAGGUAGGUGUGUGCUGCAGACGGAUUGCUUCUCUAGUUACAUUGUGUUAUGUCAACAAUGAUGCACAUAUCACAAAAUGUUAAGUAAUUUUAUAGCCCUUGUCAGAACUGUACAUAAAAUGAAAGCAGUGCAGAAGAGAGGUGCUCAUUCUGUCAAAUGAACAAAGCCACCUAAAAAUUCUAAUUAUAUUUUAAAGUAGCUUAAUUUGCCUUUGCCACCCCAUCAGCAUAUUAAUCUCUGGAGGAGAAGGAAUGGAAUGGAAGAUCUGUAUAGCAGCAGAACUAUUGAUGUGAUGGACAGGAGCCAUGAAGUCACUUAAAUGGCUACCUGUAAUCGAAGUUAGCCAGCUGGAUGUGAAUAUGUAAGACUGUGUUCUUCACCACUAACAUCUUUAAAGAUGUGAGAGUGACUGCAAGCUCACAUGCAUCUCCUUUUGACAUCAUUUAUUUUAUUGAUGGAGUGAAGAAUUCAUCAGACAUAUCCUCUGCGCAAAGGGUAACUGCUGAUUUUAGAGUUUAUAAAUGUGGUGGUUUUUUUUGGUUUGCUUUAUAUUUGUCUUUUUAUAUUUGUCUAUUUAUAUUUAUAUAUUUGUAUUUGUCUACUGAAGCCAAGCCGCAGCCUAUUAAAUCACCUUUACAGGUGAAGAAAUUCCUAGCUUUAACAAGGAAGGACUACAGCUGAUGUCAUUGAUUAACACUUUAAUAUCGUCGCACAUCCUGUCCUGUCUUUCCACUGUAGAGAUGGGGAAUUAUGUACCAAAACUGUUGUGUGCUUGGAGCAUCCCCACUGAGAUUGUAGGUUGUGGUAUAAAAUGAUAGCAGUGCACUGUGUGAGAAAAAGAUUGCAUUCAAUGGUUAUCAUGAGACAACAGUGAACAAUGAAAGAAAGGUGAGCUGGUAACUCUCUAUAUACCACACAGCCAAGAAAAGUCUGUUUUGGGUUCUUCAUUUGUGAGGUACUCUGAUACAGCAGAAAGAUAACACAUCUUCUCUAGAUAUAACUUCACAGAGUAAAAAGCACUACAGAGUUACUGACACCACAAACAUUUUCUUUGAAGAUAAAUGAUUAAAACACAGAUAUGAAAUAAGGAAUGUGAUAGCUUUUUUCAGUCAUUAAAAUGGUAUUUUUUAUAUAACUCAAGGGUAUAAAUAAAUUAGGAAGUAGUCAAAUGCAUCUAAUAAAAAACACAGAGUAUAGAUUAAAGAAAUAAGAAAACUCCUUGAUAAAAACAAGUAUACAGACAGAGAAAUAUCUCCCUAGGAAAUAAGUGGAACCCCAAUGAGGCACAUUAGAGGCCAGAAUGCAUAAAGCACUAACAUAGUGGUACAAGGGUUAAAUCAGGAGAGGUUGUAGGUGUCAUGAACAUAAAUGGUCUGAAUAUCUUCAAUAAAUUAUGUGCUGAAAUUUUUCACUUCAGAUUCAAGUGAUUUUCUGAGUUUUGCUUAACCCAGAAUAGCUUAAGGGAAAAAUGAAGAAGGCAAUGCCUUCUAGUUACAGUUUUAACUUUGGAAAUUUAACCUUACCUAUACCAGAUUUUGUCCAUGUUUUAUUUUGUCUUCUAGAACAAAACAUUUUACUUAAGGUUCAAUCAAAACAUUUCUUCUUUGCAAUGUUUUACUCAGUAUGUUUUUCUUGAACUGAAGGAUGAUUUCGGGAGAGAAUGGCCAGUGUUAUUAGACUGGUUUGUUUUGUGUGAUACACACUGAAUUUGUGAUUUCCCCAAUGGAGAAAAAUAUUGUUUUAUAUAAAUCCCAAAUACUUACUAAUUUUAGUGAGUGAUUCAGACAGUUAAUGAAAUGCAGUUCUAUUUCAGACCAUUUCUUUAUAUCACUAAUCUAUGUUUUAAUUUUGUGGUAUUUUCCUUCUCUUUCUUGCUCGUUACUCAGUGUUUGCCUUUCAGACAUCAGCUCUCCUCCAUUAGUGCUCCCUCUCUCACAUUCCAGUGUUACACUACUAUGUAACUUUGCUUUCCCAAAAGCUUAGAAAGAAAUGUCAGUUGCUUUUGCCAUCUUCCCUUUUAGAGGGAAAAAAAAUCCGUGGAAAACUAUUUUAGAAAGACAUUUUCAUAGAAUGGACUGGGUUUGGGGAAGGAAUAAACUGUUCCAAAUUCCUCUGUAAACUACUAAAUACUCUUUAUUUUUGCUGACGUGUCCAUUUGCAGUUGCUGACCUGGAAGUGACAGCUCCUAAUUUCAAGCCUUAAGGUGUUCUCUCUGAAUCCUCAGCUGCAAUGGCUUGCUGACAGAGAGAGAGAGGACAGAGCACAGGAGGCCCUGAGUAGUGAAAUUUUCAUCAGGAAAAUGGAGGUGGCUCAUCAGCAUGCUGUCCCACCAUGCAUCCUAGGAGGAACCUUCCAGAACUGUUUCACAUGUAGGUUCUCAGACACCUAUAAUCAGUGGGAACAGAGGAGUGGGAGUUUCAACACUGUACGUGAUCUGCACCAUAUUGUUAUUGCUUUGACAGGUGCUUCAAGUGGAAAUAGUUUGGGACAUUAUCACUGCAAAUGAUGCAAGUCUGAAGUUCAUCUGGCUGGUUAACAGUGCAGGAUGAUAGCUUCUGGCAGUUUCUCACCAUGUUUCUCCAAGCACAGAGGAUUUGAACUGUGAUAAACGCUGGAAAACAUCAAACAGCUGUCAGUUGUAGUGUUAAAUCCUUUCUUGUGGAUGAAGACAACUUAAAGCGAGACAUAUUGUUCAAAAGGAAUGGAAAAUGGAGACUUGUUUGUAAUCAAGAAAAGGAAUGGAAAACGGAAACUGUUAAGUCAUUGUAAUAAAUGGCUCAGUCUUCAAAAUAGGACUAUAAUCAAAGUUAACAAUUCAUUAAAGGAACAGAGUGAGCUGUGUGCAAACAGAUUAAUGUACAGAAAAGCCUGUUGGAACUACAAGGAUCAACCACGUAAGUUGCAAGGAAAGGGGAAAGCAGUACUAGCCGUUGAAAGGUUGGAUAAAAAACACUGAAGACCUACAAAGCAAAAAAAUAUGAAUAAGUUGCUGAAAUGGCUGCCUUGUUGCUUAAAAUAUGUGAAAAUAGAGGAUGGUGAAUGCCUUUUUAGGAGCAUUUGAUCCUCUUUUUCUAUAUGCUCACCUUCUGUCAUGGUAUUUAUCUUACUUCCAAAAAAGAGAGGGAAGAAAACAACCAAGUUGCUUGCUGAGUGUUUAUUGUGCAUUGCAGCUACACAUUAUGCUAACAAGGCUCAAAGGAUAUAAGAAAAUAUCUUUACAACAGCUGAUUUUAUAUUUCAGUAUGAGAAAACAGAUAGCAAGCUCAAGGUUUUAUUGUUAAUAUUUUCAGACCUGCAAACAAACAAACAAAAAAAAAUCAAUUAAAGAGACCUCCUAAACUGCAAAGAGCAGUUUCUUAUAUUUUCUUAUAUACUCAGAUUCUUGCUAGGAAUCUGUUUGUAACCUUCUGGUCCUCAGAAAAUGCUUUCUUUCUCAGUAAGACUACCUAUGGUCAGGAUAUAUGUUAAAAACGUAGGAAGUACUGUUUUCCUUCUUAUUUUUGCCUGAGUGGCAGAGUAAAAAUCUGAGAAUCUUUUCUCUUCAAAAGAUGUAUCUUUUUAUUUCUCUCUGCUUCUUUCAUGCUGCUUGCUCAGUCUGUUACACAUAGGAGACAACCGUGGUUCAUCCUGAAUUAUUUCUUGGCACUUGCAUUCAUAAGGCAUCUGUUUUUCAACACACAGUGGAUUGUCUUUACAUUUAUGCUGAACAACUUGGGCAACAGUUGUAGCGUAAAUGCUGCAGGCUCUUGAUUUCUGUCCUUAAGGGAAUGCUUCUUAUAUACAUAGUGCAGGGACACACGUAGUCUUCUGACUUCAAAAUGCUUGGAACAAGCCAGGAGUCUCUGGGGCAUAAAGGAAAAAGUCUAGCUCAGAUUUUCUCUCUUCCAGGAAAUGUGCUCAAAGGAAAGGCUGAAAGGUGGAUGCUUCAGAAAGCAGGAAUGUUUCUGGGGAAACACAACAAUCUCAGGAUUUCCAACACUAGGGACUCUUUUUUUUUUUUUAACACUGUUUUUAUUAUUUUAUGAUUAGUACUUUGCUGAGAAAAAGAUUUUUUUCUGACUCAACUUGACAAUUUGCAAGCUGUCUCCAGAGCAGAUCACACAUGCUAUGACAAGAUAGAUUUCAUAGUGUACUGAAUCAACUUCUCCUGCAAGAUAAAAAAUGACCUAUGGUAUGAGUGAUAUGCAUGUAUAAAGAGGCAAACUAAAAGAUGAGGAUUUCUAUACAACUUUUUCUUAUUGAUAUCAGCAUCUAGGUCAAUUUUAAAAGUGUUUUUGUAUCGAACAAGAUUCCAGUCUUGAGUGGUUGCAACAAUUUUUCACCCCAUUUUGAAGACCAAAGUAAUUGUAGAAGUUUUUCGUUUAGCAGGAUUGGAAAUGAAAUCAUGUCUCUGUUAGGGCAGAGCAAAGCUGUUGGAACCUUGUAAAGUCCUUCAAUGAGCAUGGAUCAAGUUUAUACAGUUGACUAUUGCUUCUUUUUUCCACUGUUGUAAAUAUUACAUUAAAUUUCCUUCUGAGAUUCAGAGAGUCUAGCGGUGGUAUCAGUUAUGUUAUAGCAAUUUGAGCAGUAUGAUGAGACACUGUGCCUUUCAUCAACAACAGAAUUCCAUUGGAAAGGUUUUAGACCCUGAAGAAGUCAUUAUGAACUUAAUAAUAAACUCUCUCUACUGAAAUUAUGGAUGAAGGUGAAUAUUUAAAUAUCUGUUUGAAUAAAGAUAGUAUUUUUUGUUUACUAGCCAAACAAGGAAGUUUUCUUGCACCACAGGAGACCAUUUUAUGAGAUGUACAAGGAUCCAGCUGGUAUUCAGGAAUUUUACAAUGAGAUUUCUAAACAGAAAAGUUAAGUCGGGAAAGGAGUGAAGUUCCUACCAUCUAAAAACCUAGGCUUUUUCAUUUCAAACCAGCUAUCCCUGCUAGCUUCAUGUCAUACGUAUAUCUAAAACUAAGCAAAAGCAGGGAGAAAGGGACCUAUUCCCUUAACUCCACUGUAUUUCACUGCACAGAGGGGUAUGAAGAGCAAGUGUAAAUGUUGUUGAUCAUUUGGCCCUUUUCUAGUUUUAAGGGAAAAGUGAAUAGAGCUGGCAUUUUACCCUCAGUAUUUUACCAAAGUCCAUGCAGUAAGAAAGGGAAAUUUCUGCUCACUUACCCACCAGAGCCAGGUAGUGCUUUUACCUGGGAAAGUUGGUUCCCAAUGGACUUCUUGAAGAGUUCAGCUUUUGUGGGUUUUGAUUUGGGGGUACAAUUUUGGUACUCAAAACCAUGCCUGUUUUUAUGUCCUACCAAAUAUUUUGUCUCCUGCUUAUUUCCACUCACAUCAGCAAACCCUGUACAGCUAGCAAUAUGAAUUGAGCCUCAUCAGCAAAGUAGUUAACAAGUUUUAAUGACCGUCUCUAUUACUGGUCAUUGCCAGUAAUAUCAAGAAAGCAAUAGGGUACAGGACUUAUGAUCACUUUUCAGGGUUGAAAUCACUGAGGUACUGUAAUGUGACACUGUGAAGUAUCAUUUCACAGAGAUACACUUCAGAGUACAACUGCUCUUUAAUUCCCAUAUGCAUAACUCUGAGCUAAUUAAAUUACCUUUUUUCCCCUACUGUUCUUUUGUGCAAUUGAAUAAAAGACAAGGAAAAAAGAGAAUUUACUGGAGUUAUUGAAAGCUGUGUUAUUGUUAAGAUUUGUAGCCUCUUGAAAGACUCUAAAGUGCUUUGACUCCAACAGAAGAAAGUACAGGUGCGAAGCAGACAUUUUGAGGGAAAUCAUCAUACACAGUUCAGAAGGGUUUUAGAAAAAAGCAAAGAAAAUCUAUUCUUUAGGUCUUUAACUCUGACACCAGCAGGAUGAAGAAGUUUUAAAUUAAGCUGUUUCCCAUGUAACUGAUAGGGUUUAAGUAUUGAAACUAGCCGUGUCCUAACCAGGGAAACUGCAAGAGGAAAAGGGAGGCUGGAGCAGCAGUGCUGAAACUGAAAUUAAUGCGAGAGCUUAUCAAUGAGAGUCAUCUAUGUGAGAUGACGCAUGUGAGAGUCAUAUAUGGACUUUUGUUACCAUCUGUUUGUUUUUAAAUACUGUUAUUAAUAGGAGUAUUUAACAUAUACCACUGUCAAAAUGCUAUCUCAGAAGUUAUUAUUCAUAGCAUUCUGUAGAAAGCAUAAAGAAAUCUGAUGAAUAUCUCUUAUGAAAAAUAUUUCAAGUCCAACGAUUUGUACCACAACUUGAUGGAGACUGCAGUGUUUUACUGAAUUCUGAACUGAUUGACAGAAUCUGUGAAACUGUUCAUUGGGUCAUGAAGUAUUAUUGAGAUUAUCUUCAUUAUCUGUUCUCUGGUAGUUUUACUUCUUAAUUUAGUAUAUGAAUUUUACUUUACUCAGGGUGUAUUGUGCACCCUGUAGAUAUAAUGCAUAUUACUAUGUUUCAUAUAUAUGUAUAAUUCCAUAAAAUUAUCAGUAUAUACUAGAUAAAAUAUAGAAUAUAAAAGUAUAUUAAAAAGCCUCCAAAUGAGCCUCCAAACUUUUUAAUCAUUCAGAUUUUGGCCUACCUGCUUCAAAAAAAAAACACAUUCCCUCCAACCCUGUGAUUUUGUUGCAGGCAAAGUAAUAUGGUGCAUCUAUGUCAUUACAAGGGAUUAGUGAGAAAAGAUGCUGUAAGUUUCUGUAGAAUAGCAAAGAACAUUGGGCACAGGCUGGUUAUCUAUUCUAAAGUAAGUCCACAGUAAAAUCUGCAGUACUUCAACUCUUCAGGUUUGGAUAGAAGUGUCACUGAUGCAUCACUCAUCCUAUUAUAAAACUAAAAUGAGGUUAUUCACAAUCUCUUUCCACUGAAACUGUAGAUUAAUUUCCAAGACUCAUAGUAUUGUUUGCUAUAAAUUGUAUAGGGAAAUAGAAAUACGUUUUAACAUUCAGUUCUACUGCAAUACAAGGUGAAGUAAUUGUGUGCCCAAAAAAGCCCCUGUCAGAUGAGUGCCUGUGAGACAAGUGUACUAGUGGCUGCACAUUUAUACAUGAGUUUCUUGGAUUUCACCUCAGACACUCAUCUGUUAAAGAUGGUCUGAAAGAGUCAAAUGUCAGUGCAAAAUUUAAAGUUGAUCUAUGUCUUCAUGCCAUUUAAGAAAGAAAGUCUUAAUCUGUCUCCCAGCUGAAUACAAAAAGAGUGGCUUACCUUUGUUUUUACAGGAUGAAGAAAUUAAAAAAUGUUUUAAGACCAAACUCUCAUACAUGCCUUAAACUAAAAAAGCAAAUUUUAAAACUAAAAUUUUAAACAAAGAACAAAUAUGUUUGUCAGACUCCUAAAACCCAGGUUUCUCCAGUAGUACUUUCAGAAGUAGCAUUCCCUUUGUUGAAAUGUGUAUGGUUGGCCUGUGGCUGCAAAUGCUUUGAGGAGAAAGAUGGAUUUUUCAGGACAGCCAAACACAAAAAAAUUAUUGUUAUGUGUGCAUGAGUUAACAACUUUGAUUCAGAUUAGGAUGUCUUCAUAAGGGCUUCAUGCCAUCUGCUUAGUGAUUAUACUUUGGAAGUUAAGGCAUGGUUAGUCUGAGAUAGUAACAUUAGUUUUCUGAAAAUCAUAAAUCCUAGAAUAAAGAAAAUGUGAUACCUAGUCCUUGGAAGACAUUAAAAGUAUUCAUUAGUUAAUGUAUAUAUUACUUGCUGUACUUACUAAUAAAGUGUCUUCAUUAAGGAUCCUCAGGUCAGUACUCUCAUAAAUACACUAAUAAUUAGUGAAAACAAGCCUGGGGGCUUAUUUUCAGAGAACUAAGACAACAAAAUGAGACUGAGGCAGUGGCAGAACAUAGCAAAUUGGUUGGUCAAAAACCAGGUGGUCGCGGUGAACAGUUUUCCAGAAAACUGACACAGAGCUGUAUAUAAUUUGGCAGUAGCAGAAGAGAAAUUCAUUGUGGCUGGAAGGAUUAUGGAGAAAUAUGAAGUCUGAGAGCAAAUGCCUGAAUGUUGUAUUGGAAUCGUUUCCAUGUCUUACACGGUACUGUCCUCCUACUUUCAGGUAAUAAUGUCCUAUUGUGUUAUAGAGAAGAUUAGGAUCCAGCAGCAGGCCAUUCUGAUGGCCUGGUUUGGCAUGCAAGUCUCAGUGGGACAUAGGACAUACCCCGUGCAUGAAUAAAUUCCUAAAGCCAUUUCUGAGAGUGAAUCUCAUCCUGGUAUUUUAUGCUUAUUCCCAAAUAUGUCAGACUACUUUGUUCAGAAAUACGCCACUUAAUCUAAUUGAUUCUAUUGCUAGAAUGGAUGGUAGAAAUGAUGCUGAAGACCUUUUGGAUAUAGUCUUGGACUGGGAAGGAGUAAGAGAGGAAAAGAGUAGAGGAGUAUGAUAGUAGAAGGUGGUAGGGAAGUUUGAGCUGAGAUGAAGAAAAUGCAUUUUGAAAGAAUUAAGAGAACGAGGUGCAGGGAGACCCUCAGUUGCUGGUGUGUGCUGCUGCUGAGGAACAGGCACUGUUUUGCAGAGAGAGGGAAAGUAUUUGAAAAUAGAAAGAUCUGGGUAAUGAGAGAUAUAGGUUAGUAAAUAUGGGCAAAGCGUUCUGUGGAAAUGCCCUUAUUCUUUCUUACAGCUACUAAGGUCAUAAAAUGCAAGAUCUCUACUUGAAUAAGUGCUUUCUAGUUCCAAGUUUAAUGAUAUUCACUUUAGAUAGAAGGGCAAGGUAAGGACAACCUCAUCUCAAUCACUGGAAAGGUGAUAUAGCAAAUAGCCUUGGAAUACAUUUCAAGAAAUGUGAAGGACAAAAAAAAAGGGACUGGGAGUAAUCAUCAUCGGUUUAUGAAGGAGGAAUGAUGCCUGGACAACCUGAUGACACCUGGUGACUGGUGUGUUGGAUGGGUGAACAGCAGUGAAUGUAGUUUAUCUUGACUUCAAUGCUUUCAACUGUCUCUUCUGUAAAAUUCUCAUAGACAAACUGAUGAAACAGAAACUAGAUAAAAGAACAGUGAGGUGGACUGAAAACUUGCUGAAAUGCCAGGCUGAUAGGAUUAUGGUCAGUGGCAGAGUCCAGUUGCAGGCAAGUUGAUUGUGGUGUGCCCCACGGCUUGAUAAUUUGGCUGGUUCUUUUUAAUGUUUUUGUUAAUUAGCUGGACAAUAGGACAGACUGCACCCACAGUAAAUUAGCGGAUGAUACAAAACUCAGAAGAAUUGUUGACACACCAGACAGUUGUGCUGCUGUACAGCAGGCUGAAGAAGUGGGAUGACAGGACUCACAAGAAAUUCAACAAAGGGAAAUGCAAAGUCCUGCGCUCGGGGAGAAGUAAUUCCAUGCACUAGUGCACACUAGGAGCUGACCAGCUGGAAAGCAGCUCCUCUCUGGUGGACAAGUUUACCAGGAACAAAAAAAAGCCAACCAACUCCUCAGCUACUUUAGGAAGAUCAUGACCAACAGGACAAGAGGUAAUGGGUGAAAAGUGAAACACAGGAGAGUCCAUCCAAACAUAAGAAAAAAAGCUUUCAAUGUGAGGAUGACCGAGCCCUGACACAGGUCAACCGGAGAGGUUGUGAAGUCUCCCACCGUGUGUACUCAGAACCUAACUGGACAUGGUCCUGAGCAACAUGCUCCAGCUGAUCUGGCUUCAAGCAAGGAGGGGUUGGAGAAAGAUGAUCUCCAGAAAUGCCUUCCAACCCCAAACUUUCUGUGAUUCUGGGAUCCUCCUCAUCUACGUGGGCCUGGGAAAUACAUGUACACUGGAGUCUCCUCUCUGUCUGCCAGUGACAAAUCUUAAUUACGGUUUUCAUUUCUAUGUUCUCAGAUCCUGUUUAUAAAUUUGGAAUGUCUUUAGCUGGCACUGAAACACAUAAUUUUAAACUACAUGGCAAGAUUUUAAUGUUCCUGGUAUUUGACACAUAAGUGUCAAAUGCUUUUUAUUUAAUUCCAAAACAUAAUGUAUUAAGGCAACAUGCCCCUAGAAAACAACCUGACUGUUGAGAUACUUAAAGAUGCUGAAAAUGCUCAAGAAGAAAAUUAGUGAAGCAUUCAGUGACAUUUUAGAUCAAACAAAUUUUUUUAUGUGUGUCUUUGUGAUAAUUGUAUUUUCUUCUAGAAUAGUUUUUCUAUGACAAUCUGAUUGUAAACUUAGUGUGCUUAGUGUGCUUAGUGCUUCUUAAAUUCUAAAAUCUGUCUUCCAGAAGAAAGUUAUCCUUUGCAGAACGUGGAUAUUUGCAAAUAUUAUUUUAUUCAUUCUGGAAAAAUAUUUCCUUGUUCUACUUACUUAUAUAUUUUUCAUAUUGAAUAUGUACUAUCUGUUUGAUGUGCAGACUAUUUCUUCUGGAUGUUCAGUUCAUGCAAUUUGUGUUAAGCAUCUGUUGCAUUACUACUGUCAAUAUGUCACUUUGUGCUUUUCAUCGUUUCACAGGGAAAGACUGUGCUAAUUCACAUCUCCUUCAUAUCACUCCCUUGUAUCUGAAGACAGUAACCCCUUCAGCCCACCUGCUAAGCAGAGCAUAAGCACAUACUAAGAUAGGCAACACUGGAGAUGGAGUCUUUUUCACUUGUUUUUGUGUGAAGUAGAAAGACAGUGAAGGCAGGGUAACUGGACAAAGCUGCUCUGUCAGAUGGGAACAUUUCACCUGUCAGUAGGACAUUGGUCCUAUUCCUGCCUUGGUUGCUUAGUUUCUCUAAGGUGCCAAGGUUGCCACCUUACUUGCCUGCAACUUGUUCCACUUUUAAUACUGGGAUUUUGGCACUUGAAGUGAACAUCACAACCAUUCAAAUAAAAGCACUAGUAAACUUCAGUUUACGUGAAAAAGAAGUGGCUCCAUGAAAUACUUUUUUUCUUCUAAAUACUUUCUUCUCAGAGCAGAGCAGGCAUCUUCAUCUCAUUGAAUGGAGGUUUUGUUUUCAUUUCUGAAACACUAAAACUUAAAGUUUUGAUUUUUUUUCCUAUUUCUCCAUUUCUUUCCAUCAUUUAAUGCAUUUGACCAAAAAGGCAUCUGUUGGUUUGUAUUUCUUCUUCUACCUAGUUACUUUGUGAGACAUUUUCACUGAAUUUCCCUUUCAUUUGCUGCAACUAUUUAAAAUGUUUAUUUUUGUCAUAUGGGUGAACUCAAUCAAUUAUGAAAUGAGGAAAAACAAGGAGACUGAUGAUCAGGAUAAUUUGGGCAGCUAACAAAGACUUUUCAGGAGAUGCAGAGGUAGUUAGUGUACCACACUGAAAGAAGGACAUAACUCUGGGCCUGAAUUAGUGUGAACAGGGGUGAGGCACUCCAGUAAAAAACAGACAUCAAGAUCUUGAUGAAGCAGAUGUCUACAUGCCUCCUUUAAGAAUAAAAAAUGAAAAAAUAAAAAAAAAUCCUGGUAAUUUAAAGUUUCAUAACACUGGAGAUAGCAAUGGUACAAAUGUAAACAUUGUGCUUGACGACUCCUAUUUAUGCCACCAGCCAUUUGCCAUCCUUCCUCCCCAUGUACCUCCCAGCUCCAAAGUCACUGCUUUGCAGUAGGCUGUUGUUUGAUGUUCUUUCCCUUCCCUGUCCACUGCCCCAACCCAACUGGUAAAAUCUUGUUUGUUCCUCCAUCUUGCCUGUCUCUCUUAGGCUUAGCUUGUCAAGCAGGAAUUGAGAGUACGUCUUGAGCUAUGUUUCCACAUUUCUAUCCUGUUGCUGGACACACACCAUCAUCUCACAAGCUACACACUCAUACUCUUUUGUUAAAAGCUAUCACCACUAUUAAUAUCACCAGUGUUUGCUUUGCCUCAUCCUCAAAUGCAUUUUUGAAAAGGAACACACUUGUUAUACAUGGUGGAGAGGAAAGGUUUUAAGCUGGGUCAAUACGUAAAUCCUGUUAAAAGCACAGCCACACAAACUAUCAGACUGGUGGGGUACUGGGUGAGACAACCUCUGCAGGACAGUGGGAGGUGGUGACUUCCCAAGCGGGUCUGCUGUUGCCAACAAAUAUCAUGCAGCCCCAGGCAGUGAGCUUGUUCAGGAAUAUGCUGGAGUGCAAGGGAAGGAAUAAAGAAGGGGAAAGAAGGAACCAGUAGGAAGUGUUGGAGUGAUGUGAAAUGAGGCACAGCACAAAGAGACUUGUCAAAAAGCACUACAUGCCUCAGAAAGCAUAACCAAUUAUAAUACUGCAGAUUUUAAUGGUGUUAUUAGAUGAGACCAUGAGGGACUAAGCCAGAGAAACUGGUUUGCUGCAUGGGCCAGGUAACUUUUCUUCUGUCCUUCUGUUUCCGAUUUUUCAAAGCCACUUUGGCUACUUUUUUAGUGAUAUAGCUCAUUCCUCAUAAAGCACGUGAAGUUUUUCCUAGUAUUCCUUCACGAUGGGAUGAAUGUAAGCAGCUUUCGAUUUGAAAAAAUAAAAGGAAUCAGUUAGUUAGUAUUAAUUAGAGGCUUAAAAAUGAUGUUGUUUCUGCCCCAUGCUUUAAUGCGUCUAGAAAUUUCUGUUUGCCAUAGCAUGUAGUUCAAUGAUUUCCAUUUGAAACUCAGAGAGUUUAUUUCAUCAGACAUGUUCCCCCUGCUUUUUGUUUUUGAUGUCUCACUGAAAUCUUUUGGGGAAGAACAGCCCAGGAGGAAAGAAUAGAGCUGUAGCAGCUUGAAGUGCAGACAUACUGAAGUAAUUUAUCUGAAAACUGUCUCCUGAUUUGUCAGGAUGGCCUUUUGCUUCAAUGUUAAUAACACUUCUCUGUUGGCAGUUGCUGUAAGAUGGUAAAUGAAGGUCAACUAAUUACUAUAGCCGCUAUUUUAUUUACUGAGCCUGUUCCUAGAAAACAUUUUUGACAGAAUUCAGGGAUAAUUGAAUGCUUCAUGUAAAUACAUUUUUGGGGAGAAGAGGUUAUGUGUGUAACUGAUUUUUUUCAAGUUUUCUAUCUUUUUAUUUGUUUAAUUUUGCUGAACCAGUAUUUUUCAGUCUUUUUUGACCAAUCAAAUUGUAAAAAAUGCAGUAGCAGACUCAGCAGGACAGAUUUACCACUAGGAUUAAACUGAUUUCUUACUUACCCUUUGCAACUCCCUUAUAAAUCUCUGUGGAUUUUCAGAUUGAUCUGUGGAUCAUAAUUUGAAAGUCACAAUGGCAAAGAGAAUACAGCUUCUUUUGAUGGUAUAUAGUUUAAAUACAGUGCUUUCAUCAGAAGGCACAUUAUUGCCCUCCUUACUGUCUGUGUAGUCUUGUAGAAUAUUAACUUUAGGAGCCAGGUACUUAGCUGAAAUCCUGCAAGCAUUUAAUCUUCGUUUCAACAUCGGAGCUCAGUUGCAUAAUCACUUAUAACAAAUUAUCCACAAAAUACCUCGGAUUACUCUUUAGAGCUCUAAUACUCAACCUGAAACCUCAUAAAUUUUGACUUUUAGGAGUAUUCCCCUGACAAACCUUAAAUAAAUAGAAUAAAUAAAUAAAUAGUUUUUUAGCAGCUUUAAAUGAAGAUUCAUCAUAAAAAAUAAAUAUACAGUACUCCAAACUCCAUUUCAGUGACUGCUAGCAUUUCAGUGACAUCAGACUGCUUUGGCAUGAACUAAAGCAGUCCAGUGUUUCAGGAAAGAUGUUUAAGUAUCUUAGAGUACCAGUUCGGUAUUUUUAUAUCUUGGUAAGGCUGGCUGAGAAGCAUAGCUUCUGGAAGAUGUUGUUUUGACUUUGCUUAUAAUUUGGUUUUGUUCUGAAUUAGAUCUGCUUCAUCUGUUAUGAGAAUCCAUGUAAAUUAGGAGUUGUAACCAACACUCAAUACCCCACUUAUGCCUCCAAUCUUUCAGAUAAGUAUUUGGGACCUAUAUUAGUGUACAGGUCUUUGGCGUUUACUAAUAUCUGACAAAUGAUUGGACUUCUCCUCAUCUGUAUUUGUUUCACCCAGCAUAAAAUGUGUUAAAAACUCUACUAGUUCAGAAGAGCUGACAGCCUCGAUGCAGUGAUGAAAGCAAGAGCAGCAGCUAUGUGUGACCAGAGGAGUAGCUCCCUGCUUCUGCCAGCCCAGCACUAUUCAUGGGUCUUAGACGGAGAUCCCCACAGUCACCUCCCUGCCACAGCCCAUUGAAGCGGCAUUUGCUAGCUAGCGUGUGAAUAGCUCACCCUCUUCACAUAUAGCUGUUCUGUCAAAAAAAAAUAUGUUAUUUCCCCUCAGCUUCUUGCUGCCACUCACCUGGCAGAAAUUACUGCCCCUACACAAACAGUAUAGCUACCAGAAGUGUCCAGACAUUGAUUUCUAAUGAAUUCACUGAGGGAGCUAAGGUAGUCUAUGAAGAUGAUUGGGGCAAACCUGACUGCCAGGUCAGUGGGCAGUGGGGAGCAGCAGCAGGAGGUAAUAAUAUAUAACAUUAUUAAACUUGGAAGAUGUUUGGCCAUGUCUUUUGAGCGCUUCAGUACUGCAAUAAGACAGGAGUAAUUUCCAAAAGAGCAAAACCUCAGAGCUCAAUGGGAUUUGUUAGAUCAAAGGGUGGAAUUCAUCAAUUUCCAUCAUAUUCCUCAACAAUAUUAAAUCACUAUGAUUUUUUUUUUGACUUGCCACUGUGGCCUAUCAAAUAAAACAGCCUUACUUUUCUGUGCAGUUUGCCAACUUGCUUCCCAUUUUCUCCACCAAUUAUUAAUACAUAUUCUAAUACUAGGUGCCAUGGAGUCUGAACUCUCCAUUAACCUCUCUCCCCUCAGAGAAUAAUUUGUUCUCAAAUCCUUUGUAGAUUUAAUCUAUGAAAACAUCUAAAUUUCCAUCAGAUUUUCUAGGAUGAAAAUGGGUUUUCUUUCAUUGUAAAAAGUACAAGGAUCAGGUUGGACUUUCUCUAGUAAAAUCUGUAAGAACAGGCACUGCAUGGUGAUUUUCCUGUCUUCAGUAAGAGUAGUUGAGAUGAUCCCCUCUUCUUAGAGUUACUUAGUUGGAUCAUCCUAAAAAUUCCCUUCAGCACAUAAAUAACUUCCCAGUAACAUGAUCAGUGUCUUUAAAGAAGCGGAAAAAUCACCAGCCUCUAUGAGGUGUGCUGGGUUUUAUGCCCAAGAAUUGAGGUUGGCUUGUGAGAGCACUUGUUUUGACCUGGCACUUUUACCUAUCUGUAUAUCCAGGGCAUGAGCCCCAUCCAUAGGUAGUACGUAAAGUGGAGGUGACCUAGCAGUGACUCUGAUGAGUUCAGCAAAAUGUCUGGAGACAGUCUGAAUCUUGUCCAUGAUAGCUUGGAUUUUUUUUUCUCUCACCCUGUCUCUAAAGUGGCUACAGAUUUUUGAGAGGUCACCAGAAAAAAAAAAAAAAA